ensembl:lncRNA
UCUUAGAUACAUUUCUUCCUUUUGUACAACUGCUGACCCCCAAAUUACCAAAACUAUUACAACUACCAAUGAAGAGGGAAAAAAAAGAAAGAAAAAAGAAAAAAAAGAAAAGAAAAAGAAAAGAAAGGAAAAAGAAAGGGAAAAAAUGAAAAAGAAGAAGAAAAAAAUCUAUUAUUGUGACCUCCUUCGAACAACUGCAAAACAAUGUAUUCGCUCUUUAUACAGUAUCAUGCAAAUACACUUCAAAAACCACAGGAACCCCAGGGUGUUUGCCACACAGACACAGUGAAAGAAGGAAAGAUGAAAAGAAUUGGACAGACUUUCUGUAUGAGUUGCUAAAUUAAGAAAUGACUCUAUGCAUGCACAUGGUAUGUAUCAACUCUCAUCUUUACCCAAAGAAGAAUGCAGAUCUCCACAGCACGUACCGGACACAGAAAUACAUCAUAUAUCUCCACACACCCACAUAUUCAAGGGUUUUAUGUUUUAAAAAUGUUAGGGAAAAAACUCCGCAACUCUUUAUGAACUGGAGUUAACUUCCUCAUAGAUGUGGAUGUAUUGACAUUCAAUUGAAAUAUGGAACUUUUGUUGUAUUAAGUGAGCAAUACUUUGCAGAGCUUCCUCCAAAUCCCACUGAAAAACACCACUGGAUAUGGCACUUUCUGGACUCACUAUUGUACUAUAAUGCAAAUUACUUAGUGUUUGGCUUCAAUAUUUGCUGUUAAACUGAAUGACUGGCUACUGGUUACUCUAGUGCAGUGAUAAAGAGUCCAGAAACUGUGCAAUUGAGAAAAGGGUCACAGUGAAUCAUCCAUCACAGUGUAUCUUUCCAAUGUCAUGUUUUUUCAUAUUUUUUUCAGACUUUUUUUGAGCAAAAUUUGAUACCAUUUGUUAUUUGGGGUUCAAAUCUACCAUAUGCUUUCCUGCGCAUGUAAAAACAGACAAAUGCAUGGGAAACCAUGACAGACCAUCUCACUCAUAGACCUGUUGCAAUGACUUACUAUCAGAAGGCAUGGUUCAGAAAACCAUGUAAAUAUAGAUAGAGGAAGGACAUAGGCAAUUUGACUUGCCUCGGUGCCAUACUGUUCAUGCCUCGUCGUUCUUAAAAAAAUAUCAUGUCUGAUGGUGAUUCUCUAGGGCUAUAGUAAGGCAAACUUUGAAUGGACAGUUUGAGAAAAAAGGACUGAUGAGCCAAAAAGAGAGCUGAUGUUUUCAAAUAUUAGUUGUACUAAUAGGAGAUAUUACUCCUCCUGUAUUAUCUUAGCAUUCUUCAUGUACAUUUAUGCACAGCAUACGUGUUCUCACCUUGUGGCCUUAUAUGAUAUACAGAUAUAUAAAGAUACGGUAGCAGAACAAUUACUGCUAGAGUUUAAAAGUGUCGUUGAAAGUGUUAUUUAAAACACAUCUUUCCAAUUUUGGUCAAAUAUCCACUUAAUGCUUUUGCAGCCUGGCUUUAAUUCCCUAAAUGAUGUCACAUCCACCUCAACUCAAAGUAAUAGUUUCUUUAUACAGCUUAUUUCCACAUCUUCAUUCUAACACGUGGAUUUUAUUUCCUAUACUGAGUGUUACUGUAAUGAUCAGCUUUCGUUCUCUCCAAAUAAAUAUUCAGUAAAUCUGCCUCCUAUGUAUUUACAUUUCUUCCUCAUUUAUUUUCCCGAAUCACUACCUAUUAAAAUGUGCCUGGAAAAACAUGACUUUUUCACUUUCUGUGUGUGUUUUGCAAUCAUUUUUUUUUUCAGAGUGAAAAUAAUGUCAGCACAUCACAACUUGCUUCAAAAUUAUACUGAAUCAACUGUCACAGUACAAAUUGUAAUAAUAAUUCUGUUUUUCUAUUUUUGUCCCUUCUUCCCAUCAGCAGUUUCUCUACUGAAGAAUAUUUCAGUACACAAGCAAUCCAGGAACAUAUCUUUUCUAUUGAUAAGCCUUAAGCUAGAGGAUCAUCACAUUAUCACAACCAGAAGACAGCUUCUUUGCUUGAGUAUCAGGAAAACGGGAGGAGAUUCGAGACAAUGUUUUGCUGAGAACCCUUCAGGUUUUGUUUACUACCUUGAUGAAAUACAAAGUUGGCUGCAGGAUAAGUCACGAGGACAGUAUGCCAAGAUGUGAGAACCUGCAGGAAGUCUUAGGGUCCCAACAGCCUUUUGAAACAACAGCACCUCCCUAAAACAUUACCAAACUGACAGAUGUUUUUCCUUUUCUCUUUGUGGAGAAUCAGAGACCUGUAAGAAACAUGAAAAGAAAAAAAAAUGUAAAGUCUAAUUUAAAAGCACAAAAGUAAGAACUAUCCAUAUCCAAUCCUAUCACAUCCUUCUUUUAGUCCUCCAGCUACUCUUCUUCCAAAAAUUUUUUAAAUUAAAUAGAAGCACAUUUAAUGUUUCAAAGAAAGUAACUAGCAGAACAAAUGUAUUCAUGAAAAAUAAACAACACUCAAAGGAGGACCGUUGUUAAACUCUCACUACAAAUUAAUCCGUCUGUCUACCUUCAGAUAUCUCAUGCAACUAGAUCAAAUCCUCAACAGAAAAGGAAUGAACAGCAUAUGCCUUGCUUUCUAGACAAAGAAAAUAUGUGUGUAAUGGCCUCAGGUUAUAGAAACACUAUUUCCCUACAUUUAUGAGAAAUAUUUACUUCUUUGUUAACUAAAACUAUUCUGAUACCUUCAGCAGAAAAUGUUUGUGACUCUAAUGUCAGGAAGCACAGAUGCCUAAAAAAGACUAUUUUGCCCCAGAAUAAAGUAAAAUAUUCAGAGUUUAUCAAACCAUCAUAUCCAUUCAGCACAACACGGAAUGGUUUGGGUUGGAAGGGACCUUCAAGAUCAUCCCUUUCUAACCCGUUGUCACGGGCAGAGUUGCCAUGAAACAGAACUACUGCUACUUUGCAGAGACAUUAGGCAUGGGAAGUCUGAGAUUUGGCAUGGAAUAGAUCAUCCUACUGCACACUGAUUCCUGCAGAAUUUUUCUACUUGGCCAUUUCUUCCUGUAAAUCUGUGCUUUCAACAACUGCUCUCAUUAGCUUAGAAUAAGGGGAUGCUCCGGGAAAGCUUUCCACCAACCCAUUGGCCUAGAUUGACAAAGCAUUCAGCCUAACAAGCAAGACAGCAGAUUCUUUCUUUAUUAAUUUAAAUAGAACACUUGAGCUCCAGUGCAAAGUCUUUCUGCAGCUCAGGUUACAUCCAGUGAUGGUCCAGAGGUGGGAAUAGGGAUUAGAACCUGGGUGGUAUGUAAAAAACAGUAUUUUGCCAGCCUUUUCAUUAGGCUCUCAUUUCAAACUUGAUUGUAGAUUCAGAGACGGCAUAGCUGAAAACCUUUAACUAAUUCUCCACAGUGCACAGCAAGCAGUUUGGCCAACCAUCCAGCCAACAGUUUAAACAAGACUUGGGUUGGAACUUGGUCAUUAAUCAGGUUGCGAGUCCUAAGAAUGGAGCCUGUGCUGUGAUUUGGAGGGGGACAAAAAAGAACAGCCACAACACCGAUGUGGCACAACAAAAAGGUUCAAAAUUUUGCCAUCCUCACCACUUCCUCGGUCUUGAGGGGAAAGAAGGAGGGAGGGAAAGAGGGGGCCAACCGCCAUUUCACGACCGCUCCCCGCGCGCCGCUGCCCCGACGGAAGCCGCUGCCCUGAGGGAGCUCCCGCCCUGAGGCGCU